rnacentral:lncRNA from 1 species
CUGCCUGCAGUGCUAUGUAUAAGCCAUUUUUCUCACGUUAUAAAAGUGUAGCUUUAUCGGCAGGACCUCCGAUUGCAUUUUAAAACUUCAUUUGCUGCUUUCUGGUUCUUCUUGUGUUGCCAUUGCAGAGCCUGUGCAGCCUGACGCGCUGGAGGACCAGGCAUGGGAGAAAAGCACUGUUUGCACCUGUUUAAAAUCUCCAGUGCUUUGUGUGGUUCCUGGGCAACAGGCAGGAAUCCUGAAAAGCUAGGCUGCACUUGCUCAAUUGUUGCUGGCAGCUGUGACUUUGAGAGAGCACAUAGCAGCUCGUUAGCAGGUUGCUUGUGUUAUGUGACAUGCACUGAGCAAGGCAAACUCUUAGCUGAUCUCUCUUCCUUUGCUGCCUACGAUCAAGGCUGGGUUGCCUGGGGUUGCAGACCUGGCCAAAGGAAGCAUUAUAGAGAUGUAAGGGAACUAGGGGGCUUGAUACAUCCCUUGCAUCCUGCAUUUACUCUGACCACAGUCCCUCCCUGUUCUCACGAGUGGAGCUCUGCCCUGCUUCCCUUCCUGUUGAUUCCCAGUCAGCUACAUGAUAAUUCGAGCCAUGGGAGAUGAUACCAUUCAACAGAAGCAGUGAGGCUGUGAAGAUCAAAGCAUUAUGAACCUUGAAAAGAAUUGGGAGAAGCUUAUAUGCUACAGUAACUUGUGAAGGGUAUAAGCGAAGACCUCGAUCUGUAUUCCAAGAGAUGUUCAGAGAAUAUCAGCUUCAGAGCUGCUUCGCAAAAAAACUGCGUCUUCAGAGGAAGAAUUGUUUGGGCAAGGCCUCGUGAAAGCUGCAUGCUGUCACUGUUCCUGUUCCUUGGGAACAUAAACAGGAUCUAGGGACAGCUUGUGCAAGAAAACAGUUGGAAUAGGGAAUAUCAUGGUUUUCAGCAGCCAACUUGAUUACCAUCAUCAUCCCCGCGUAGGAGGAAAGCUUCAAGAGGUAUUUAGAAGGAUGCUGGGACCCACCUGGCUAUAGCACAACCAUUGGCUGAACUGCACUUUGGGAGUCCAGGGCAGGUCUUAAGUGCAGUUAUAAAGAGACUAACUCUUCAGUGGGUUGAGAAGUUCAGUUACUAAUGUGCUUUCACAGCUGGGCUUCUCAAGUACUCCUUGCUUAUUCUGUUAGCAGUAGGAAUAAGUGAGAGGGGUGGGCUAUGGUAAUAAGGGAUCCAAUGCCUUUAACAGUUAAAAGGGGCCUUGUGGUGGAGUUGCAUGCAGCACCUAUUUUGGAGGGACCACUAGGGUUGAUUAUGCAUCACAGCUUUUGUUUGAGUGUCUCUAAUUUUCUGAAACCUGGAUUUCAGGGAGCAUUGGUCUUAG